UACGAAGGGGGCUAGCGUUGCUCGGAAUCACUGGGCGUAAAGCGCACGUAGGCGGAUUGUUAAGUCAGGGGUGAAAUCCUGGAGCUCAACUCCAGAACUGCCUUUGAUACUGGCGACCUUGAGUCCGGGAGAGGUGAGUGGAACUGCGAGUGUAGAGGUGAAAUUCGUAGAUAUUCGCAAGAACACCAGUGGCGAAGGCGGCUCACUGGCCCAUUACUGACGCUGAGGCACGAAAGCGUGGGGAGCAAACAGG
rnacentral:rRNA from 1 species